rnacentral:rRNA from 1 species
GAUGAACGCUGGCGGCGUGCCUAAUACAUGCAAGUCGAGCGAACAGACGAGGAGCUUUCUCCUCUGACGUUAGCGGCGGACGGGUGAGUAACACGUGGAUCACCUACCUAUAAGACUUGGAUAACUUCGUGAAACCGGAGCUAAUACCGGCUCAUAUAUUGAACCGCAUGGUUCAAUAGUGAAAGACGGUUUUGCUGUCACUUAUAGAUGGAUCCGCGUCGCAUUAGCUAGUUGGUAAGGUAACGGCUUACCAAGGCGGCGAUGCGUAGCCGACCUGAGAGGGGGAACAGGCCAACGGGAAAUGGGACAAGGUCCAAACACCUAAGGGGGGCAGAAGUGGGGAAGAUUGGACAAAGGGGGGAAGACUGAACCAGACAAACCGCGGGGGUGAAGAAGGGCUUAGGGUUGGAAAACCCUUGUGUUGGGAAAGAAAAGAAGGAGGAAAAAACCACGCUGGUCUGAAGGUACCCAAAGAAUAAGCACCGGCUAAAUUAGUG